rnacentral:ncRNA from 1 species
UAGUAGCAAAUACUUCAGAGAGGUCCUGGAGGACUGAUGUGGAGAAAGGUUUCGUGUGAACAGCCGUUGCAGACGAGUCAGUCGAUCCUAAGCCCUAGGCGAAAGCCGAUGUCGAUGUGGCGUGUUUAUUGAACCAUGAUAAGCAGUCCGUUCACGUCCGACGGGCGAAAAGGAAUCCGGUUCCUAUUCCGGAACUCGGCAGCGGAACCGUUAACAAGUCGGGCCCUCGCAUGAGAGUUCCUUGGGGUAACCCAUAAGGACCCGCAGACGCCGUCGGGAGACCCGGGAAGAGUUUUUUACUUUUACUAUCCUAACCAAACAUCAAAUUAGGCACAGGCGAGAGAAGCUUGAAUAUAAAGAUUAUCUGGAUCGCGCUAAGGAAAAAAUUCGAAUGUAAUCCGUACCUUCUAAGGCGGAUUGCAGCCCUCUGCGUAAUCCUACGGGUACUACUCUCCACCCUCAACAGCCGAGCC